UAGCUACAAUCAUGACGAUCGGAGUAUCGAUGUUCACCGCAAAACAACUCGCCGCACCGGCAUCGGAAUCCGGUCAAUCCUACCUUCCUUCGACAACCGGAGCAACGAUUCACCUCUCUCUUAGCCGGCGGUAAGCUUGCCUUCAGUUGAUCCUCCUCCUUUACCAUCAUCGUAUCUCCAACUUUCUUCAGAUCUUGACUCAUCCUGUCCAGAUCAGACUUCCUGUCCGGCGACGACCUCAACGAGCUGAAUCUCGCCGAUUUUUCAGAUCUGACCAAUUUUUCAGCGAAAUUGUGAGGAAUCGUCACCGACGUCCCCGUCGGCGAGCUGGAUGAAGUUGAGGUAGCCGCGGUGGUGGCGUUGAAGCACUUUUGACACAUAUUGUUUGUGGCUGGAUUUCCUGUAACUCCACAAUUGUUGAUGCAAAGCGUUAUCGUUUCAGGUACGGCCUUGAACUCCGUCUCUUCUUUCUCCGUUCUCUGAGCCAUUUUUCUUUUUGUGUGUGUAAAAUUUUAAAAUUAUGACAAAAUUCGGUUGCCUGCUUCAAUCUAGAAAGAGAAAAUACGAAAUUUGUAGAGGGGAUGGGGAGAGUAGUUUGUGGUUUGGUUUGGAUGAAGAAAUGGGAAAGAGGGGAAGGGGAAAUGGAGGUUUUAAGGAGGAGAGAGGUCGGUAAUGGCGAUGGAAUAAUGGCCUCAUUGGAUACGCGUAUCAGGCAAAUUGUGGGGUGAGGGUGAUGUAUUGACGAUAAUACCCCUAUAAAUUUUGGGGUAAUUAUGGAACAAUUUAAUGGGUGAGGGGGUGUGCUUCUUUCUAGAUUAGGUCUGACGUGUUAUUUACUUAAUCGUCACUUUUGAGGAUAUCUUUUUUAAAAAAAUAAAAAAAAAGAGCUACAGUAUUUCAUUUGUGUUUCGGUGACCUCUUUUUUAAAAAAUAGGGGAUAUAUGUUAUACAGGCUGGAUAAGGUAUGGAAAAUGGCUCUUUUUAUUAAGAGGACAGCUUAUAGAUGUUCAUGUUUUUACGAUUUCCAUGCUUGAACUCCUUGCUGCCCAUCCCUUCCAACUCUCACAAAUUAAAUACGUCCAAAUAUGUAACGUGUUAAAUGGCAUAAAUGUUAUAUAAAGUUGAAUAAUAGAUAUAUUGUUAUGAAUUUUUUUUUUGAAAUCAAACUAUAAGAACUUUGAUCAAUAUUUUACAAUAUUUUUUCAUCAUAUUGAUGUGUAAAAAAGUUACUAUUUAUAGUACUUUUUAUACAGUUUUUGAAUAUCUAAAUUUUUUGAAAAAAAAUAUCAAAUUAAUAUAAUUUAAUUUAACUUUAAAAAUUAAUUAAAUUAACUUUUGAAAAGCGUAAUAUAACAAAUAAAAAUGACCGGAGUAGAACGUUAUAUAGAGGGUAUGUGCCUAUUUGCAUACCCUAAUAUUGGAGGACAUCUUAUGCCAUUAAAAGUUUCUUUUUAUACUUGUCUCAACUAUUGAGACAUGACUAUUUAACUAGGGCAUAAAAAAAUUAAAAAUAAAAUGAUCUAAAAUAAAUUUAAAAUAGUUAUAUGACUACUAAUGGUGAAUUUAUUGUUAGAAUCUUUAAUUGGUUUUGGUUGAAAAAAAAUUAAUAGUUGAGUAACGAAUAAGUUUAGUAGAUCAUUUUUUGGAAGACUUUUCUUUAUAAUUCGCACUUAAAAGAAUAAUUAGAUCCUUAUUUCCCAGAAAGAGCAUGAGCUAAUUGUUAAUCAUUCAUUCUAGAUCGUUUUUAGAGUCUUUUAAGAAUUACAAUAACGGGUUGAUUGUAUUUAUUGCUAUAUAUAUUCAUUAAUAUAUUUAAUAUAGUUGGUUUUCAUAAACAGAUUGGAUAUAAGAGUUUUUAAUACAAUUGUAUUCAUUGGUACAGAUUAGUUGUUUCUUUUCUAUUUGUUAUAUGAUUAACGGUUAGAUAUAAAAAUCAAUCAUAUCUCUCGUGCCUCUCGUCUCUCACCUUUCCUCUUUCUAGUUCGCCUCUCUCCUCCCUUCUCUCUCUCAAAUCUCAUCCAUCCCUCUAGUAGCUAAUUUUUAUAUUAUUCAAUUGUACUUGUGAUACAAUUAUCAAUCAAAUAUAAAAAUCAAUUGUAUCUCUCUCAUUUGUAUCCUUCUCCAAGUAUGUAGUUACGAAUGGUAAUAAAUAAAAUAUUAACUAAAGAGCCUGAUUAUAUCUCUAAUGUUAGCUGUUUUUGAAUUUUCUCUUAAUUAUAAGAUGUUAUUUGACUAAAUUAUCGUCUUUAAAGGGGUUAUUUCUUUUAACAUGUGUCACGACCCAAAUUCGAGCCGCGACUGGCACCCACACUUACCCUCCUAUGUGAGCGAACCAACCAAUCUAACCUUAACAUUUCAAUAUAAUAUCAACAGAAAGUAAUGCGGAAGACUUAAACUCAUUAAAUAAAGACCAAUUCAUUAACUUCUAAAAUUCAACAUCUAUUAUUCCCCAAAAUCUGAAAGUCAUCAUCACAAGAUCAUCUAUGAUCGAAUUACUAAACUAAGAGUAUUCUAAAAGCUAAAACAAAUAAAAGCUAGUCCAUGUCGGGACUUCAAGGCAUCAAGACAUGAGGAAGAAGAUCCAGUCCAAGCUAGAAGCAUUAGCUCACCCUGAAGAUCCGGUGUGACGAAGACUAGCUAGAAUUACUGUUGAGUUGAAGACGAUGGCACGUUUGCUGCACUCCACAAAUAACAAAGAAGAAAACAAUAAAAGUAGGGGUCAAUACAAAACACGGGUACUGAGUAGAUAUCAUCGGCCAACUCAAAAUAGAAAACAAUAUAUAUACGAAGUAAUAUCAUAAAAUCAACUAUGAUACUCAACAUGUAGCAACAGCAAGUACUAUAUCAUUAGCAAUUACCAUCAAGUUCACACAUGAGGACUCAAGCCUCAAUACCAUACUCGUUUGGGAAUUAUGUUCUUUAGAUUGAGUAUAUUAACAUCUUUCAAGAUUCAUUAUCUUUAUUUCUCUUGUGUCGGUACGUGACACUCCGCUCUCUCAUAUUCAUUAAUCCUCUUGUGUCGGUACGUGACACUCCCAUCCCCUAAAUCUACGUGUCGGUUCGUGACACCCGAUCCCCUAAUUCUACGUGUCGGUUCGUGACACCCGAUCCCCUAAAUCUACGUGUCAGUUCGUGACACCCGAUCUCCUAAGUCUACGUGUCGAUUCGUGACACCCGAUCCCCUAAAUCUACGUAUCGGUUCGUGACACCCGAUCCCCUAAAUCUACGUGUCGGUUCGUGACACCCGAUCCCCUAAAUCUACGUGUCGGUUCGUGACACCCAAUCCCCUAAUCUCAUUCUAUCAACUCAUCAAGCCUUCUCCCUUACCAAGGCAUCAUCAAUCUCAUUACUUUAGUUCAUCAAGCUUUCUCCCUUACCAAGGCAUCAUCAUUAAAAAGAGAUUAGGUUUUUAUCAAGAUUCGGGAUUCAAUAAUCUCAUCAUGCUUAAUAUAAUCACAAUUAUAUAAUCACGUUCAUGCAUGCAUAUAAUUAAGCAUAUAGAAGGGUUUACAACACUACCCAAUACAUAUCAUUCGCUAUUAAGAGUUUACUACGAAUAGCAUAAAAAACCAUAACCUACCUCCACCGAAGAUUCGUGAUCAAGCAAGCAAAUUUUCCCAAAGCUUUGUGUUUUUCCCCUUCUCGAUCGUCUCUCUCUCUAUCGAUUCCCUUCUCUCUCUUUCUGUUCUUUUCUUUUUCUUAUUCCAACCCUCUUUCUUUUACCCUAAUUAGUAUCUAAUUAAGAAUAAAAGGUGGCAAUAAUGACCCACUAAUUAACUUAAGGUUACCUCUUUUAACCCCCAAGUAAUUAGACUUAUUAACAUUAACUCUCUAACUUUAUAAUUAAAGUAGGAAUAGUCCAAAACGUCCCUUAAAACGUGUCCAUGACGAUCCGUCGUGGGUUCCGUCGUCUCAGCCUGUUUUUCCAGAAAUAAAAUCUGCUGCUCAAAACGACUAAACAGGUCGUUACAACAUGUCAUAUGGCCGUGCUAAAUAAUUCAGCACGCAUGAACACUUAAAGAAUGUAUUAAAAGAAUUUGAUCUAUACACAACGUUUUACAAUACUAUAUCCAAGUUCUCGUGUGAGAAUGUCUUUUUUUAAGGGCGAGUUGCUAAAUAAUAUUUAUUUAGAUGUAUAAAAUAAAUCCAAUAAUACAUAGAAAAGGUUGAGUAAUUCUUUCGUCACAUGAAUAGUGUAGUGUGAUUUUGUGAUACAUAAGCAAUGUUGAGCGACUGUUUUAUUAUAAUUUUUUUUUUUUAAAAAAAAGUAGGUUAAUCAUUUCUUUAGUAAUUAAGUAUACUGUAAAAUAUAAGGAAUCACCUCUAAAACUAAUUUUAUAUUUUUAGGUUAAUCAUUUCUUUAGUAAUUAAGUAUACUGUAAAAUACAAGGAAUCACCUCUAAAACUAAUUUUAUAUUUUCACAAACAUUUUUUAAGCAAUCCCUCUUGUGUCUUUCUUUAUUCCCUUAGUGAUCUAGUAUUAAAAGGCUUAUCCAAACUUGCAAGAUAAGUAAAAAAUUUAUAAGCAAAUUAUCAAAUGAUGAAACUUAAGUAAAUAUCUAUGUGAUACUAUAAAUCAUAUACAGACAAGUAAUGAAGAUUAGGUCAAAGAAUCAACCUCUAAGCAAAUAUCAAAACACAAAUUAAAAAAUAGUAACGUUAAAGGGCCAAGUUGAUUGAGUGGCCAAUUUUUCUAAUAAAAAUUUAAACGUUUUACUUUUAUUUCUUACAUUGCAAAUGGCUGUCUCUCUAGACUUACCAAUGAGAUUAAUUUGUUCACUUUGGGCACGUGAAAUGGUAACUUACUAAAUAAAAAAAGGUCCAAUUUCCACAGGAAAUUGCAAUACAACUUGGUUUCCUCCUUGUUUCCCCACCACUUGACUUUGAUUUGCCUAAAGACGGCAAAUUUAUUUAUUGAAAAGAAAAAAUUAGUAUUAUCUUUUGGGCCUAGUGGUCAUACAUGCAAGUAGAGGUAUAUUUGUAAUUUCCACACACCUUGUACCCCACAAGUUGAGCGGCUUUGAGUUGAUAAAGGAGAAAGGAAAGCAGAAAAGGCAAAAUGUCUCAGCUCCAGCUUUACAGCCGCCCACUCUGACCAUCUUCCUUUUUUUUUUCCCCUUGGGUUGUCCUUCUUGUGAGAAGAGAAAAAAAUAUUCUGAUAUUUGUACUAUUAAAAAAUGUGUUAAUUUACAACUAAUUAAAAAUUAUUGAAGUACAAAGUUGAGGUUAUCUUGCGUUUUGUAUGAUAAAAAAAUUACUAAUUGCCUUUAUAUGUAACUUUAUGAGUGACAAAUAGAUUCAUGAAUUUUGUGUAUUAAGAAAUUGUAGGGGAAUAGAUUUUAAUCAAAAGAUGUUUUACGCCUUGGUGCUAUUUUUCUUAAUUUAAUAGUGAGAUAGGAUACAAUAGAUUCUUAAUACUUUUUAUGAUUUGAAUUAGUUUUUUAUUACGAGGGUGCUAGAUAGCGUAAAUGAUCAUUAAAUAAUAUUUUGAAUAUUUGUUGGGAUAGUGGUUUGAAAUUAAUAUGUGGAAAAGUGAGUGAAGUCGCUUGUUUCAUUUGUGAAGGCAAUUUCCCUGAGAAAGACAAUAAAAGUACCAAAUCAUAUAAAUAUAUUCUUUACGAUAAGGAAACUUACUAUUGCUAUCUUUUCGAGUGUGCAUAAGAUAAAAUCUCAUUUCUAUGCAAUAGCUCGUAAAUUACAUAGGAGAGGUAACUCACAUUAGGCAAGUCUGAUGCGACAAGCUCAAUCUAGAAGGCAAAAACCCCUUGCUUUCGCUGGCAAAGGAUUUCGAACUUGAGACCUCCAACGUGGAAGUUUCAAGCUCAAACUACUGGACCACCCCGAAGGGUUACCUAAUCAUAUAAAUAUUUCUACAAUUUUUUUAAUUUUUCAUAAUUUGAAAUAAUUACGUAUAUUAAUUAAUAAAUUUAUAUGUAAUUAACGCAAUAUACGCUAUAAAUAUACUCAAAAUUGUUAAUACAUUUGAAAGAAGACAAGCGACAUGAAGAAAAGCAAGUGAAAACUCAAAUGCAUAUAAAAACACAUUAGAGAUACAUUCUACAUACACAUAAAAGGAGAAAUUUAAAUAAAUAUAUUAAUAUUUUAUAUUUAAAAUAAGUUAUACUUAAUUUUUGUCCUUAAGUCAAAAAUAAUCUAUCUAGAUGUACUAAACUUAUGUAUGUGGUGAUCCAAACUGGCAUGAUAAGUAAUUUUAGAAACUCAGGAAAAGUCACGUAAUUAAACUCUAACCUAAUGAAUUUGUGAUGUUUAAUAUAAUUGGACACCUAAAACACCACAAAAUGACUUCCUUUUUUUAGUGGAAUAAUAUUAUUGAAAAAUAAGCAAUAUGAUGUGGAUGUAAUAUUUGAUGACAUCCACGUGGCACCUUGAAGCAGUGGACGUGUAUUCUUUGUAUGUAGGCGUAGUCUAAUUUUCCUCUUAACCUCCCCGCGUCACGUAAUGCGCUUCCUUAAAAGAUUCUACGGCCACAUUAUGGAACCCACCAAUCAUAUAAUACCAUUUGAAAAGAAUUAAGAAAAUGUCCUUCUCUUUUGUUUGGUUUAUAUAUAAAAGGGGAUGAACAGAAAGAAAAUGGCAAAAGGUAUACUUAGUUUUGGGAUCAUAAACAAUACAAUUAGAUAGAAAUUAAAGAGACUUCGUUUUUAAAAAAAAAAAAUUCUUGAUGUCAAUUCCUAUCCCUCCCAAGCUGCCUAGCAAUAGUAAGGCAAGUAGAAAAAUUGUGUUACGCACUUUGCUUAGAAAUGAGGAGAGAAAUGAAGGCAAAUCGAAGCAUUUUCUACUUUUCUUUUGUAACGAGUGAGAAUUAUUUUUUAAAAUUGACUUUCAUUUUUAUUUUUAUUUGUUAUUUAUAAUAUAUAUAAAAAAUAUAAUUUUUUAUUUCAUGUUUUAACCUUAAGACUUAUUAAUAUUUCAUACUAAACACCGAUUAAUAUAAUAAUAUUUAGAAUAUUAAUCAUUAUAUAAAUGUAAAGUAAAUAAAUAAACAUAAACGGAGGUAGUGCUUUUAUACAUACUGAGCCCACAAAAUUGUUCUCCGUUAUUUAGUACUCCCCAUUUUCUACAAUUUCCGUUUCUUCCACUUAUUUUCUGACACGAACUUGCUUUCUCAUUUAUAUUUUUUUCUCCUUUUCUUUUUUCCUAAUAUAUCUUCCUAAAUUACAUUGACAUAGGAAAAGGUAUAACAGCUCAAAUUGCAUGUUUAAAUGUCUAGGUUUAUUUUCACCCUACUUGUCAGCAGAGACUUUUCUGAUUUUGUAAUGUUUGAAUCAUUAAAAAUGUUCUAAAUUUUUUGUCAGCGAAAAUAAGAAAUUUGAUUUUUGAAUUGAACUUGUCGCACUAAGUUUAUCUAGUGUGAGUUAUCUUUUUUAUGUGAUUUACGAGUUAUUGCAUAGGAGCAAAAUUUUUAUCCUAUGUAUAUCCAAAAAUAACAAUGAUAAAAUUCUCUUGUCAUAAAAAAAAAAUUAAUAAAAAUCCGUAAAAAGACGUCUGAAGAAAAAUAUAAUGCGACGGUGUGAACGUAGAAGAAAUUGUUUUGUUUUAAUUCCUUCUAAUAAGUUUGAAAAUAUUUCCUAAAAAUACAAUUGCUUCACUUUAACUUUUUUAUUUUUGAAUCCAUGACUUUUUUUAAAAAAUAAUUGCUCAAUAUAUUCUUGAAUCCAUGACUUUUAAAAUUGGGAAAAAGGGUGAAUUUUAUUGAUUGAUAAUAUCAUAUUGUUAAAUUAAAGUUAUUUGCUUUCCUGUCAUUACUAAUUUUACCAUCCAUUUAUAUGCUCAAUUUGAUGAAAAUCUAAGUUGACCAAAAUUAUCGAAUUUCACUUAAAUUAUUGAAUUUCAUCUUUUUGAUCCGAAUUUAAAUUUAACCAGCUAAACAAAACUCAAGGAAAUCAAAUCCCAAAAUCAAUUUCUUCUCUCAUCUUCUUACUCCCUGAAUUAGAAAAAUAUUUUCAUCUCUUAACUCUAUACAAACUUCAUACAUUUGCAACAACAUAUAAUUUCAUUAGCUUGCCAAUUCAACUUUUUUUUACUUUAAAGAGAUUUUCAUUAGAAUCUGCCCUCCCAAAAUAACAAAGCAAAUUCACAAGAUCAAAAUUGUAUCAAUCUGUUUUUUCAAGCUUAGUCGUCUCUUUGAAAAACUUUUUUAUGCAAAAAGAGCAAUCAAUAUUCAUAAAUACAAAAAUCAAAUCCAUUAACUAAUAUCUUUUAUCAAGCAUCCAGAACGAUAGCCACAAAAACGCCAAGCAGCCAACAAAAGCAUAGACCCAAUGCUGAAUUGAUCCCAAAACUAAUCGCUGUUGCAAAUCUCGCUUACCACCGACAAUCGAAAAGUGUAAAAAAGAGGAGUAUGCGACAGCAGAGUUCAGUUUUUUACCUCAAUAAAAGAUCAUGUGCAUCACUUUUGCUUGCCAAUAUGAGUUCUUGCCCUUUGGGUUCUUAAAGGAGAUGAAUUUUGGGAGAAGAUGAUGGGUGUUUUGUUGAUUUGUUGGGCAAGUUUUUGAGUUUUUGGUUCAGAAACAGGAGUUGAAGAAGGUUCGGGUUAAGUUAGUUGGAUCGAUUUGGGUCAAAAUAGAUAAUUAGAUAACUUUAUUAAAAUUGAAUAAAUUUUGGCGAAUUUGGGGCUUUUCGUCCAUAAAGGAUAUAAAUAGUGAAAUUAAAAACAACAGGUUAAAAAUAAUUAUUUAAUGAUAAGAGAUGAUUAACUAAGAUUCACUUCUCUUUAAAAUAAAUAAAUUAAGUGGAAUAAUAGAAAUCUUGUAACUCGGUAUAAGAUCGAGAAUUGAUUGAUACUCAAAGUAAAAACUAACAUCAAAGUAAAAACUGAUGUUUAAUGUUGUGAUUAUAGUACUAAAAUUCUAGACGGGAUAUGUAAUCUCAAAUCCUCAUAUAUACCUUUGUUCAAUGUAGAGUCAUAAUUUAUCGUGUAUUGAUAUAUCGUAAUUUACUCAAAAAGAUUUUUUAAUUAUAAAAUUAUGAAGAUCGAACAUUAAGAGAGAGCAUCAAAUAAAAUUAUAUUUUAUAUCAAUAAAUUCAUGGCAUUCAUGUUAAGUUAUCAAACGAAUCAUGUUAAGAAAGUCAAAAUUUCUACAUGUGCAUUAGCCAACAGGAUAAUGAAAAACUCAAGUUUGCAUGAAUCGCAUAAACCAUCAAAGUCUUAUGAGCGAGGAUUUUAUUUUUACUUUUAACUUUUAUUUUUGUGUAUUUAUAUCAUCAUAAAAUAGUUGGCUGAAUCUCAUUUGAUUUAUUUCAUUUUUUCUUGAUCUAUAAGCCUUUUAAAAACAAUAAAAAUAUCUAAAAAGUAAUUAAAAUUAUGGACGAUUAUAGAUGAAUAAUGUGUUCAAACUCUUAUGUUUUCUUUUUAAUACCACAAAAAUUAACUCAGCCGUAUUAAUUUUAAAUAGAACCAAGAUAAUAUUACGUACUUUGAAAAAAUUAAAAUUGAAAAAUUAGAUUUUAAUUUUUAAUUAUAUAAAAUAAAAUAACUAAAAAUUAGAUAUGAUAUAAAUUUUACAAACCUACCAUCGAAAGUAUCGUUAUACCCAUAAUAACUAUAGUAAACGAACAAGUUCAUGAAAGAAUGUGUUUUUCCCUUGGCUAUUAGUUUGUUACGUGGCAAGUUGUGAACUAGGAUGUAUAGUAUGUCUUUUUGCUAGUUCACAUGUGAUUAUUUCUCAAAGUGGUCCCUUACUGCAACUAUUUUGUGGGACCAGCCAAGGUAUUGGCCCCACAUUUUCUUUUAUAAAUUUUGCCUAGAAGACUGGGUCCCACUUUAGUCUUUAUGUUCCUUUUUUUUUUUCUACUUUUUGGAAAUACUAUUCAAAUUGAGGCAUAAAAAAAGUUCUAGAAAUAACGCAAUCAUUUGAUACUUGAAUUUUUUUUUAUCCAAUAGACAUAAAGUGCUUCAAGAAUGCAUUUAUUCCAAAUAAGAUACAUAAUAAAUUAAAUAAUGCAUAUUCCUCCUGCACAAAUUCACCUUCUUUUUUUUAAUUAAAAUUUUUAUCUGUUGAAUAGGUUAUAGUAAAAUUUUGAGAUUCUUAUUGUCGUUUUGAUAAAAUUAGCUUUUGAGAUGUCUAAUGCUUUAUUGGUGUUAAUGUUGAAUUACAUAGUAGUUCACUAAUAAUAAAGAAAUAAUAUAAGCGCAAUUACUUUUGCAAUGCUUGAUUAGCCUUUAUCAUUGCUAAUACCCACAUAAAUUAUAUGUAAAGAUAUACGUAUUAUUUAGACAUGAUAAAAUAAAAAUGUGUAUAUUAGCGAAUAUAUGAAACAUAAGUAUAAUGUUUAUUCACUCACUUUUAUAGCUCUCGGUCCCUUUUUUUGUCAAAAUUAACACCUAUUAUUAUUAUUAUUCAUAAAAGCAAAGAGUGAAGAUCCAAUUGGCAAAUAAUAAUCGUCAUCAAACCAAGUUCCCCUGUUCCUUACAUACCCCCAUAAGGCAUAUACAGUUUAGUUUACAUGUUGUUCAUGUGAAAAUUAUGAUGUAAGCAUUGUUUAUACAGGGAAUAAUAAUAAAAAUAUAUUAUUAUAGUAUGACAUAAUAUAAUACAUGAAUUGUUAUAUAAUACUAGCAGUAGUAUAUAUCCUUUACAGUCUUUUUUUUUGCUAAUAUGUAACAAUAUAUUCAGAAUCUCACAAAGUGGAUUCUGAAUAUGCAUUGAUAUAUAUAUAUAUAUAUACACACACGUGUUCUAGUUAAGCGAGAAUCAUUAUAAUAAGUGAAUAUUAAUUAUGUUAGAGAUUAUAUAUCCCAGUAACCCGUUGAACCAAUUAUCAUAUACUCGUAUAUAGUGAAUGUAGAAAAUUAAAUAGAUGCACGAAUUGUGUCUCAUAUACAAAAACUAAGAUACAUUUCUAAUAAUAUUUAAUUAUAAUAAAUUUACAUGAUUUGAUGAAUAUGUACACGAAUUUUUUUUUUGUUUUAAAUACGUAAGUAAAUGUAUUUAUAUAUAAUCUAAACAAAUAUUAUAUGAGAGGGAGAGAGGAUAGGUGAGUGUGGAGUGGUGAAGAUGGCAAUGGGCUGGCUAUGCAAGAUGAAAAUGAGGUACAUUGUAAAAUGGAUGAGAUAAACUCACGAAAUUCAUUUUCCCUACUUUAACUAUAUAAAAAAAUUAUUAUCUUUAACGAACUCUUUUUUCAGAAAGACUAUUGAUCAAUCGAACAAAAAAAAAUUAAAGAAC
rnacentral:lncRNA from 1 species